GACAGAGGUCCCGAGCGUUAGGCGGAAUCACUGGGCUUAAAGCGUGUGUAGGCGGCGGCCUAAGUACCUUGUGAAAUCCCACGGCUCACCCGUGGAACUGCUUGGUAUACUGCCAGUCUUGAGCCAGCUAGGGGCUACCGGAACAAAUGGUGGAGCGGUGAAAUGCGUAGAUAUCAUUUGGAACGCCAAAGGUGAAAACAGGUAGCUGGGGCUGUGCUGACGCUGAGACACGAAAGCCAGGGGAGCAAACGGG
rnacentral:rRNA from 1 species